CUUCGUGGUUGGAAAGAUUUUUCGGUUUGGGAUGGGCUCGCGGCCUAUCAGCUUGUUGGUGAGGUAAUGGCUCACCAAGGCGUCGACGGGUAGCCGGCCUGAGAGGGUGACCGGCCACACUGGGACUGAGACACGGCCCAGACUCCUACGGGAGGCAGCAGUGGGGAAUAUUGCACAAUGGGCGGAAGCCUGAUGCAGCAACGCCGCGUGAGGGAUGACGGCCUUCGGGUUGUAAACCUCUUUUAGCAGGGAAGAAGCGAAAGUGACGGUACCUGCAGAAAAAGCGCCGGCUAACUACGUGCCAGCAGCCGCGGUAAUACGUAGGGCGCAAGCGUUAUCCGGAAUUAUUGGGCGUAAAGAGCUCGUAGGCGGUUUGUCGCGUCUGCUGUGAAAUCUGGGGGCUCAACCCCCAGCCUGCAGUGGGUACGGGCAGACUAGAGUGCGGUAGGGGAGAUUGGAAUUCCUGGUGUAGCGGUGGAAUGCGCAGAUAUCAGGAGGAACACCGAUGGCGAAGGCAGAUCUCUGGGCCGUAACUGACGCUGAGGAGCGAAAGGGUGGGGAGCAAACAGGCUUAGAUACCCUGGUAGUCCACCCCGUAAACGUUGGGAACUAGUUGUGGGGUCCAUUCCACGGAUUCCGUGACGCAGCUAACGCAUUAAGUUCCCCGCCUGGGGAGUACGGCCGCAAGGCUAAAACUCAAAGGAAUUGACGGGGACCCGCACAAGCGGCGGAGCAUGCGGAUUAAUUCGAUGCAACGCGAAGAACCUUACCAAGGCUUGACAUACACGAGAACGCUGCAGAAAUGUAGAACUCUUUGGACACUCGUGAACAGGUGGUGCAUGGUUGUCGUCAGCUCGUGUCGUGAGAUGUUGGGUUAAGUCCCGCAACGAGCGCAACCCUCGUUCUAUGUUGCCAGCACGUAAUGGUGGGAACUCAUGGGAUACUGCCGGGGUCAACUCGGAGGAAGGUGGGGAUGACGUCAAAUCAUCAUGCCCCUUAUGUCUUGGGCUUCACGCAUGCUACAAUGGCCGGUACAAAGGGCUGCAAUACCGUGAGGUGGAGCGAAUCCCAAAAAGCCGGUCCCAGUUCGGAUUGAGGUCUGCAACUCGACCUCAUGAAGUCGGAGUCGCUAGUAAUCGCAGAUCAGCAACGCUGCGGUGAAUACGUUCCCGGGUCUUGUACACACCGCCCGUCAAGUCAUGAAAGUCGGUAACACCUGAAGCCGGUGGCCCAACCCUUGUGGANGGAGCCGUCGAAGGUGGGAUCGGUAAUUAGGACUAAGUCGUAACANGGUAACCA
rnacentral:rRNA from 1 species